rnacentral:rRNA from 1 species
UACGUAGGGUGCAAGCGUUAUCCGGAAUUAUUGGGCGUAAAGAGCUCGUAGGCGGUUUGUCGCGUCUGCUGUGAAAACUGGAGGCUCAACCUCCAGCCUGCAGUGGGUACGGGCGGACUAGAGUGCGGUAGGGGAGAUUGGAAUUCCUGGUGUAGCGGUGGAAUGCGCAGAUAUCAGGAGGAACACCGAUGGCGAAGGCAGAUCUCUGGGCCGUAACUGACGCUGAGGAGCGAAAGCGUGGGGAGCGAACAGG